GACGGAAGGUGCAAGCGUUGCUCGGAAUCACUGGGCGUAAAGGGUGCGUAGGCGGCCGUGCAAGUCUGGCGUGAAAGCCCCGGGCUCAGCCCGGGAAGUGCGCUCGAAACUGCGCGGCUCGAGUGCCGGAGGGGAGAGUGGAAUUCCUGGUGUAGCGGUGAAAUGCGCAGAUAUCAGGAGGAACACCGGUGGCGAAGGCGGGUCUCUGGGCCGAUAUUGACGCUGAGGAGCGAAAGCGUGGGGAGCAAACAGG
rnacentral:rRNA from 1 species